UGGGUAGUCCGCACGAGCGCACCUCACUUUUAGUUGCCACCAUUUAGUUGGGCACUCUGAAAGAACUGCCUGUGAUAAGCUGGAGGAAGGUGGGGAUGACGUCAAGUCCUCAUGGCCCUUAUGUGUUGGGCUACACACGUGCUACAAUGGCAUUUACAAUAGGAAGCAAGAUGGCGACAUUAAGCAAAUCCUAAAAAAUGCCUUAGUUCGGAUUGUACUCUGCAACUCGAGUACAUGAAGCUGGAAUUACUAGUAAUCGUGGAUCAGCGUGCCACGGUGAAUACGUUCCCGGGUCUUGUACACACCGCCCGUCACACCAUGGGAGUUGGUUCUACCUUAAGGCAAAGAUUAAAACCUUUGACCUCGGUAUAGUCAGCGACUGGGGUGAAGUCGUAACAAGGUAGCCGUAGGGGAACCUGCGGCUGGAUUACCUCCUUUCU
rnacentral:rRNA from 1 species